UAACCUCGUUUUGUCUACUAUUAACAUGUUAGAAGGAACUGUAUACUGUUUAUAGUAAUGCAUGUUUAUCCACGGCAUGUGAUAUAUUGUUGUUCGUAUGCAGUAUGUGAUGAUUGUGUUGAAGGGUUCAGUGCCCAUGUCAUUUGGUGGUACUGAGCAGCCGGCUGCCUAUGGUGAGCUGAUAUCCAUUGGCGGCCUAAAUCCGGAUGUGAAUAAGAAACUGAGUGCUGCAAUUUCUGCAAUUCUUGAAACCAAGCUACAAGUUCCCCCGUCACGGUUCUUCCUCAAAUUCUAUGACACCAAGGCGCAACAAACCCAAUAAUAUGCACAGUGUUUGCAUGCUUUACACCAGCACUAGAUAAUCUAAAUAGAUCUUUUCUGUUGCGUACUGUGAGCAUAGCUCUCGUUAGCUUUCUUGGUUCCAACUUUGGAUGGAAUGGAUCAACCUUCUGAGUUUGGCGAUGUCUGAAUUUCUCGAAACAUCGAUAUUGUCUUUCAGUAUGCUUUAUUUCUUUUGUGACUUGCCGUUUGAAAAAAUUCAGCAAUUUACUUUA